CUAGAAGCAGCAGAGGCAGCAGCAUAGUGGAAAUAUAAUCAUGAACUCGAGAGAUAGGCUUGCAAGGCUAGUUAACACACCCCCUUUGACCUUCACUAUGCCACAGCAAAUCUUCAUACUGCUUUUAAGAUUCGGGAUUUCUUAAGCAUCUUGUCCUUGUGAGUGCAGCAGUGCCAUCUUGUGGUUACGUUAGAUUAUGACAAAGUAUUUGAUCACUCUCAAAGUAGUCAGCCCAGUCAGACUGUAUGUGUGGAAGGAGCAGGUGAUGUUGAAAGCAAACCUGGCCUUCGGGGCUACGUGACACAUUACAAAUGACAUGCAGGAGGGCUUAAGCUUCCCCUGAGUUUGUACAGAUGGUUUGUACUGUCUGUUUCUGCUGUCACUGUCCUCUUUCAUGAUUGGCUGGAGUUCUGACUCCAGCUUGAUUUUCAAGCUCCUCUAAAACCACAUUUAAAAUGAAUUAGUGCCAUCUACUGGGAGAACACAGUAAAAUUGGUUGAGGAGUCCUAGGCCAGAUGUGAAGAAUGAAUCUUGUUUUAUGUGAAGAAAGUUGGAAAAGAGCAGGUUUGUGACGUCACACCCCUUCAUUGAUGUGCAUGUCUCGGCUUCCAUCUAAAGCCAUCAGUUGCACUAAUGCCCCACUAUUUACUUCACCGGAGUCUAGAGUAAUCUGUGGGCCACCUGCCUCUGAGUGGUGAGGCAAGCAGGUGUGGAGGUCCCAUGCAGGACCGACAGAACCAGCCAUCUCCUCACCAGGUGGACUGUAUGCUAAUUCUGGACAGGGUGGAGAACACUUUUUGUCUUUCAGGAAACCUGGAGUUUACAUCUGGAAAAUAAUGCUUUCUGUGCAUGUGGGAGCAGGCAGCCCUUGCAGAGCCACAGUGCUUCUCUGUACUCAUUUUGUGACAUACAGCAAGUGAUAAGUGGCCCUUGGGUCAUGCCUGAUAUGCCACAGGAAUUCCUGCAGCCUCAUGGCCCCUCUCAGAGCAUCAGUACACAGCCCACUUGGGAAUUGGCCACAUUCUGCACUGUCCUGUCCAGUACUGGCAUUUGAAGUCCCCAUCAGUGAGCUCCAGGUAUCACUCUUGGGAUCUGGUUCUCCUCAGGCUGCUGGCUUUUCUUAUUUUGGUUCUUCUUCAGCUCUCUGCUCCUAAAUAAUUGCUCACAAACUGGGAGUCACGGUUCAAAAGCCUCCAUGUUCUGCAAACUUUAUAGUCAGCAAG
rnacentral:lncRNA from 1 species